AAGUCGUAACAAGGUUUCCGUAGGUGAACCUGCGGAAGGAUCAUUAACGAGUUUUGAAGUGGGUUUGAUGCUGGCCUUCCCAGGCAUGUGCUCGCCCUGCUCUCAUCCACUCACACCUGUGCACCUAUAAAUGUCAGAAGAUUCAUCCCCUAGGCUCUUAGGGGUGUAGUUUGAGGUAACUUGAACUAUUGGGUUGAGUCUUUUGCGUUUACUUUUCACAAACUCUUGAAUGUAAUAGAAUGUCCAUGGCCUACGGGCUUUAUAAAUGAAAUACAACUUUCAACAACGGAUCUCUUGGCUCUC
rnacentral:misc_RNA from 1 species